CGAGGAGAUAUUACAUUUCACCGAUUUGGUCAGAUCUUCAUUAUCCUUCAACCAUCCAGAUGAGGAGUGACGAACCGAUUGGAAAAUUUUAUAGCGCAACCAAGCUGCAUGAGGCAGCGAUUAAUUUUAAGGAAGUUCGAAAUGAAUGCUUACUUGACGUAAAAUUUUACUUCUACAAAAGUGAGUUACGUAUACCACGUCUUCAGAUAGACCACCACACUGAACUUCUCUUCGGAAAUCUCAUUGCCUUGGAGUGGUGUCAUUAUAAAGGAGAAGAGUACAUCUGCCAUUACGUUAAGCUACUUGAUACUCUUGUUGCCAAACCCAAAGAUGUGGCUCUCCUCAUUAAAAAUAAAUCAUUAAAACAGACAGAGAUGGUGCUUCAGUGAAGAAUCUGAUUGACAAGCUUUCGGCAGAAACUUCUGAAGAAUAUUCCAUUUACCUCUACAAGCAGCUGGAUCAACACUACCAGAAUCCUGGUUGAAAAAUAGCGCAUACUUUAGAGAGGUAUAUUUUGGAAACCUUUGGAGAAGUACUGCAACUGUUAGUGCAACUGUCUUGCUCCUCUCCACUCUUGUACAGACAAUUUGUGCAGUCCUUUCCUUGCGCUAGUACUCCAAGGGGACCAAGUUAGCCCCAAUCCGGUGUCAUUUUAUUUCUCUCAUUGUUGACUUUCGUUGUAUUGUUGUGUACUUUCCGUUUCCUUUGCAGUUUUUCAUUGUACUUCAACUCAUGGGCUUUCUUUGUAUUUAGUAUUCAUGACUUUGUAAUGGAUGCUGUCUUCACUAUCAAGUUCAUCCUGCAGAAUUCAACAAAUCUCCAUCGUAAAGAGUCAAAAAUUAUCUUAGGAAAGCAAAAAUUGAUAGUGAAGAUUAUCUUAGGACUUGAUACUACUCGAAAAUCAACUAACUUACUUCAUUGUUGAGAAACAGUAUGACAAGAGAUAUUACCCUACAUUUCUUCAGCUUAUCUAUAACUACCCUGCAGCGGAGGCAAAACCUCAUCCAAGGGAAGUAAGACAUUUCACUGAUUUGGUAAGGUGUUCUAUAUUGUUGAGAAAAUGAUGAUGAUGGUGAUGAUGAUAAGAUCAAUAGUGUAAAAGAAAAAUCCAACUGCUUUUAGCAGAAUUCAAGGUUGCCUUUCUAUGGUUGCACCUGUUGUCAUAGUACUAGGCAUUCAAAUCAACACAAAGAUCAUGAUAACAAGUAAAAUACUCAUUAAUUUGCUCGCAAAACAAUAAUAAUUAUUUUCAAGAGUAUUUUUAUUUUAAAAUAUAUAUAAAUAAUUUUUAAUAUCAACUGUUAAAUAAUAUUUUUCCUUACUUUUUUAUUUAAGUCAUUGAGAAUGUCUAUUAAUUUGAGUUAUUUUGAAUCUUUAUUACAAAGAAUAUUUUUAAUUAAAUUCUUUUGUCAAAACAAAAAAAUACAUAAAAAGGGCAAUGAAGACAUUGAUCUAAGAAAUGCUAUUUUUUUUUUUCUUUUAAAAUCCAAAUCUUUCUAACUCUUACGAAUAUUGAUUUUAAUUAUUAUAUGAUUAAAUAAAAAUUAGUUUUUGAAAUUACCCCCGCAACAUGAUGCUGGCGGAAAAGCUAUGUACGUUACUCUCUCUCUCUCUUUCGUCCUUUGACAGCUUGUUCAUUCCAGCAAAGAAACAACAGUGGGUGUGGUGGGGAUGGGACUUGGGAUUUUGGUGAACGAUGAUAAUCAGAUGUGGGGACAUUUUAUUAUAAAUAUUAUCUGAGCACCCUAUGGCAUAGCCCAUUGUAAUGAAGUGACUAAUGGCACGUAGGUGGGCCUUCAUUGAGUUCUUGGACUUGAUUUUUUUAAUAUUGUUUUUUAUAUUUUAAAGGGUUGAACAUCAAUUUUCUUUAAAAAAUACGUGAGCAAUAAGUCACCGGCUGAGGCAAGUAGCAUUUCAUCUACGAGCCUAAAUUUCUAACCACUAUGUGGAGUUGGUUGGAAAAUCAGGUUAAUAUUUUGUUUUUUCUUGAUAAAUUCAAUUUUUUAGCCAUUUGAAUUCAAAACACCUCAUGAAGAUUCUUGAAAUACUUAAAAAUCAAUUUAUCAAUCAAAAAUACUUUAAAGAUAUCCAAAAAUCCAAAAUUAAAUCAAGUUUGAUCUGACUUCCUCAUCUUAGAUAUGCUUUCAAAUAAUAUUGAGACUCUAAACAACAACAAUUAAGCCUUUUUUAUUGUAUGAAAUCUAAAAACAUGAAGAAAACUACUUUGAUGGUCGAUAAUAGUGUGAACAAUGACCUUCUUUUUCACCGCUAUACUUUAGCAAUCUCUCUCUCAUUUCUUUAAUCAAGGACUGAAAAUUAACACAAAUUAAUUUUUGUAUCAAAAUUGAAUAUGUGAUUUGAAGGGACCUAAAUUAUAUAAAUUAUAUUAUUUUUAAAGUUUGAGAACCUAAAUGUAUUUUUCGUAAAAACCCUAACAGGCCAUCUAUCUUUUGAUGUAUUUUUCAUUUCACUCCUUUUUUUCAAUUCCAUAAUCUUCCAUCUAUUUCACCUCUAUAUAUAUCAUCUCAUCAGCCUCUCGAGAGUCGACUUAUUUUAGAUAGAAAAAUAUUACUACCAGUCAAGAUCGAGGGAGCAAUGAGCUGGAUCCAUCUUUGCUUCUUGACAAUGACCCAUGCCGAGAAAAUACAGAGGAGAUGGAGAAUUAAUUAAUGGAGAGCAAUGCAAUCAGCUUUCAAAACGAGAGUAGUUUAUCUUGCCCUCCCUCUUGAAGCUUCAAAUGAAAUGGAUCUUUAAUGCCGUCGUUGUAAGGCCAAACUCGGUAACUAUACCGAGAUAUGGAUCAACUUUUUUUUUUUUUUUCUAAAAACAAAUUAAAAUUUAAAAUGCUAUUAUUUUAUUAAAAAAAUAGACAAUAUUUUAACUAAGCAAAGUUCUUAUCUUCUUCGAGUUAUUGAGUUAAACCAUAAGUCAGCUAGAUAUUACUUACUAAUUUAUCACUUAUCUUUUUGCACCAGGUUGGACAUAAGUUUUUUGAAAUAUAUAAAAAAAAUUUAGAUCAUCAGAAACUUUGAAGCAUUAUCAUUAAAUUUAGUAUAAUUGUUUAAAUUUAAAAAAUCUUAAUUUGACUAUUUUUUUAAAUAUUUAGUUAGUGUUUCAAGCUCGCAACAUGAAUUAUGUAUUCAAUUAACUUUGAUUAAUUUUUUUUUUAUUUGAUGAUAGAAAACAUAAAAAUUGAUUUAUCAUUAAAUCAAUACUCUUAGAUAAAAUUCAAUAAAAAUCUCAAAUUAAAUGAUGCAAUUAUAAAAAAAGGGGCAAAAGAUAUAAACAAAAGAGCCAAAAAAAUCUUGAUCCGAAUCUUUAAUUAAUAUUUAGCUAACUUUUAAUUUAAAUAUUGAUGCAAUGGACUUUACAUAUUGAUUUUUUUUAAUUUAUUAUAUGAUAAGACAAAAACUAAUUUACUAUUAAUCCAAUAUCAAUGAUAAAAUUUAAUAAAAAAUUCAUACUAAAUAAUGAAAUUUAAAAAAAAAAAAACAAUAUAAAAAAAUUAAAAAUCCCAACCAGACUUUUUAAUGAAUAUUUAAUUAACUCAUUAAAGCUACAAUUCUAGUUAUAAACUUUAUUGGUUUUAUUCAAGUUUUUAAUUUUAUUAUAUAAUAAAAAAUAAAAAAUUAAUUUAUUAUUAAGAAAACUAAGAUUGAAUAAAAACCCUUUAAUGAUAGGAGUAUGAAAAAAAAAUAUCCAAGAAAAAAAGCCCAGUCACCCUCAGCUUGUUCAUAGGAGCCAGGAAUGCGAACCUGAAAGUCGUCUCUGUUUGAUUUUAAAAAAAUAACAGCCACUGGCUUCUUUGCUACUGAAUUCUCGAUCGAAGAAGCAAAAUUAAAAAAAAAAAAAUCGAAUCCAAAACAGGAGUUAGUUGAAUUUGUUUUGACAAGAGAGAAAAGGAUAGUUAAACACAAAACAAGGAGAGAGAGAGAGAGAGAUGAGAGAUUUUUCAAUGGGGAACUUUUGACGAAAAAAAAGAAGAUAUUUUGAUGUAAAUUGCGGGGUCACAAAUUGAUUAUGAAUAUUAAGUUCUGUUUGGUAACGCAGUCUUCAAUUCUCCGUGUAUUUAAGAAAUACUGUUUUGUUUUGUUGGGUGUUUGAAAAUAUAGUUAUAAUUGCUUUUCAAAUAUAUUUUUACUAAAAAGAAUAUGUUAAUUUUUAUUUUUAAAAAAAUAUUUUUGAGAUUAGUACAUUAAAAUGAUUUGAAAACAUCAAAAAUAUAUUAAUAAAAAAAAAUUAAAUUUUUUAAAAAAUACUUUUAAAAUACAGCGCUAAACACGCUCCCACAGCAAACAACCAGAACUCCAGGUUGAAAAAUAGCGCAUACUUUAGAGAGGUAAUUUUGGAAACCUUUGGAGAAGUACUGCAACUGUUAGUGCAACUGUCUUGCUCCUCUUCACUCUUGUACAGACAAUUUGUGCAGUCCUUUCCUUGCGCUAGUACUCCAAGGGGACCAAGUUAGCCCCAAUCCGGUGUCAUUUUAUUUCUCUCAUUGUUGACUUUCGUUGUAUUGUUUGUGUACUUUCCGUUUCCUUUGCAGUUUUUCAUUGUACUUCAACUCAUGGGCUUUCUUUGUAUUUAGUAUUCAUGACUUUGUAAUGGA
rnacentral:lncRNA from 1 species